rnacentral:rRNA from 1 species
CCUACGGGAGGCAGCAGUGAGGAAUAUUGGGCAAUGGAGGCAACUCUGACCCAGCCAUGCCGCGUGAGUGAAGAAGGUUUUCGGAUUGUAAAGCUCUUUCUGAUGUGACGAUGAUGACGGUACCUGAGUAAGAAGCCCCGGCUAACUACGUGACAGCAGCCGCGGUAAUACGGAGGGGGCAAGCGUUAUCCGGAAUUACUGGGUGUAAAGGGAGCGUAGACGGUAAUGCAAGUCUGGAGUGAAAGGCGGGGGCCCAACCCCCAGACUGCUCUGGAAACUGUGUAACUGGAGUACAGUAGAGGCAGGCGGAAUUCCUAGUGUAGCGGUGAAAUGCGUAGAUAUUAGGAGGAACACCAGUGGCGAAGGCGGCCUGCUGGACUGUAACUGACGUUGAGGCUCGAAAGCGUGGGGAGCAAACAGGAUUAGAUACCCGGGUAGUC